rnacentral:rRNA from 1 species
UACGUAGGUGGCAAGCGUUGUCCGGAAUUAUUGGGCGUAAAGCGCGCGCAGGCGGUCCUUUAAGUCUGAUGUGAAAGCCCACGGCUCAACCGUGGAGGGUCAUUGGAAACUGGGGGACUUGAGUGCAGGAGAGAAGAGUGGAAUUCCACGUGUAGCGGUGAAAUGCGUAGAUAUCUGGAGGAACACCGGUGGCGAAGGCGGCAUCCUGGACCGGCAUUGACGCUGAGGCGCGAAAGCGUGGGGAGCGAACAGG